UAGAGGAAGUAAAAGUCGUAACAAGGUCUCCGUAGGUGAACCUGCGGAGGGAUCAUUACACAAAUAUGAAGGCGGGCUGGAACCUCUCGGGGUUACAGCCUUGCUGAAUUAUUCACCCUUGUCUUUUGCGUACUUCUUGUUUCCUUGGUGGGUUCGCCCACCACUAGGACAAACAUAAACCUUUUGUAAUUGCAAUCAGCGUCAGUAACAAAUUAAUAAUUACAACUUUCAACAACGGAUCUCUUGGUUCUGGCAUCGAUGAAGAACGCAGCGAAAUGCGAUAAGUAGUGUGAAUUGCAGAAUUCAGUGAAUCAUCGAAUCUUUGAACGCACAUUGCGCCCUUUGGUAUUCCAAAGGGCAUGCCUGUUCGAGCGUCAUUUGUACCCUCAAGCUUUGCUUGGUGUUGGGCGUCUUGUCUCUAGCUUUGCUGGAGACUCGCCUUAAAGUAAUUGGCAGCCGGCCUACUGGUUUCGGAGCGCAGCACAAGUCGCACUCUCUAUCAGCAAAGGUCUAGCAUCCAUUAAGCCUUUUUUUCAACUUUUGACCUCGGAUCAGGUAGGGAUACCCGCUGAACUUAAGCAUAUCAAUAGGCCGGAGGAA
rnacentral:rRNA from 1 species